AGGACACUCACAGUCAUGCGUCACUUAACGAUGGAGAUCCGUUCUGAGAAAUGGAGAAAUGUCCCCUUAGGCAAUUUCUUCGGGCAGUAGAAACCCAGACAAACCCAGAUGACACAGCCUACUGCUCUUAGGUCAUGAACCUGUACAGCCUGUCACUGCACUGAACACUGCAGGCAACCGUAGCAUACUAGUGAGUAUCUGCGUAUCUAACCAUAAAAAAAGGUACAGUAAGAAGACGAUAUUAUAAUCUUUGAGACCACGCUGUCCCACAUUGACCAGCAACGUCCUUCUGCAGCGCAUAAUCGUAUUUAAAAGUGGAUUACAAGAGUCGGAAAAACAAGCGGCGUGAUUUGUUGUGGCGGCAACCAGGGAAGAGGCAGGAGAAAGGCAACCGACGAGUUCAAACCACGGAGCCCCAGUCUCGCGACCCCACCUCGCGUCCCCG
rnacentral:lncRNA from 1 species